rnacentral:rRNA from 1 species
UUGAAUUUUGGUAAUUAGUUAGGCUGGUCCUGUCGUCUGGUAUGUACUGGCUCACUGAUUCCUCUACUGAUGAACCUUAUGCCUAUUAGUUGGUGUUUGGGGAAUUUGGACUGUUACUUUGAAAAAUUUAGAGUGUUUAAAGCAAGCUAACGCUUGAAUACAUUAGCAUGGAAUAAUGAAAUAGGACGUUCGAUCCUAUUUUGUUGGUUUCUAGGAUUGACGUAAUGAUUAAUAGGGAUAGUUGGGGGCAUUAGUAUUCAAUUGUCAGAGGUGAAAUUCUUGGAUUUAUUGAAGACUAACUACUGCGAAAGCAUUUGCCAAGGAUGUUUUCAUUAAUCAAGAACGAAAGUUAGGGGAUCGAAGACGAUCAGAUACCGUCGUAGUCUUAACCAUAAACUAUGCCGACUAGGGAUCGGAUGAUGUUAAUUUUUAAUGACUC